rnacentral:rRNA from 1 species
AGCAGCCGCGGUAAUUCCAGCUCCAAUAGCGUAUAUUAAAGUUGUUGCAGUUAAAAAGCUCGUAGUUGAAUUUCGGGAUCAAAGGAUCGGUCAUGCCUUGGUAUGUACUGGUUUUAUUGGUUCUCACCUUCUAAAGAACCAUAAUGUCAUUCAUUUGAUGUUAUGGGGAAUUAGGACUGUUACCUUGAAAAAAUUAGAGUGUUUAAAGCAGGUUUACGCUUGAAUACAUUAGCAUGGAAUAAUGAAAUAGGACAUCAGAUUCUAUUUUGUUGGUUUCUAGGAUCGAUGUAAUGAUUAAUAGGGAUAGUUGGGGGCAUUAGUAUUCAAUUGUCAGAGGUGAAAUUCUUGGAUUUAUUGAAGACUAACUACUGCGAAAGCAUUUGCCAAGGAUGUUUUCAUUAAUCAAGAACGAAAGUUAGGGGAUCGGAAGACGAUCAGAUACCGUCGUAGUCUUAAACCAUAAACUAUAGCCGACUAGGGAUCGGAUGAUGUUAAUUUUNUAAUGACUCAUUCGGA